rnacentral:lncRNA from 1 species
UACUGAUUUAAGCACGGCCAUGGGAGCCGCUGAAUGCUUGAGCGACUACCAAACAGAAUCUAGAAAAGAUCGACCUUCGGGGAGUAAUCAAGCAAUUGGAGGUGGUAACAGAUCUUACAGACCUAGCUCGAACCCAAAUGGGGGAGAGCGCUACUCUCAAAAUAGAGAAGGAGCCUAUCAAAGCACCCGUGGCUUUCAGGGAAAUUAUCAUAACAGUCGUCAGGGAAAUUUUAACGGCAGUAAUAGUAACAACUGGAACAAAGGGAAAGCAACGGAGGGCCGAACUGAUGCCACUCUCAAAUUGAAGUGCUUUUUAUGUGAAGGACCUCAUCGGGUGUCGGAGUGUCCUCAGAAGCGGAUGGUGAAUGCAUAUUGUCAGUUAGCAAGUGGCGGGCCUAGUUCAAAACAAGAGGUCCCGCAAGCUAAUUGUCAUAAUGAGACUGACUCUGAAGAGGAUGAGGAAGUAGUUGGGGCAUUUUCACAUCGGUGCAACACACUAUCGCAUCGGGUUGCUGAAAAGGAUGAUGUCCCAUUGAAAGAGGCAAAGAUGGAAGAAGCGAAGGCACGAAUUUGUAUGGCUAAAGGCUUAAUAUACAUUGAUGUAAAAAUCGAUGGGAAGCCAAUCAGGGCUAUGGUGGAUACUGGUGCUACCCACAACUACCUUGCAUGNCAUCGGGUUGCUGAAAAGGAUGAUGUCCCAUUGAAAGAGGCAAAGAUGGAAGAAGCGAAGGCUCGUAUUUGUAGGGCCAAAGGCUUAAUGUUCAUUGAUGUAAAAAUCAAUGGGAAGCCAAUCAGGGCUAUGGUGGAUACUGGUGCUACCCACAACUACCUUGCAUGUACCGAAGUAGAGCGGCUCGGACUGGUUCUAGAAAAGGGUAGUGGAAAAGUCAAAGCAAUCAACUCCGCUGCUCAACCAAUAGCUGGAGUGGCGAAAUCGGUGUUGAUCAAAGCAGGUCCUUUCGAGGGAAGGACAAAUUUAUCUGCAGUUCAGAUGGAUGAUUUCAAGCUUAUUCUGGGAUUGGAAUUUCUUCGGGAUACUAAGACAGCAGUGUUGCCAUAUUCCGAUUCGUUAAUGAUGAUGGGUAAUAAGCCGUGUGUCAUCCCUACACAGGUUGGGAGGAUGGGCGAGAAGAGUAUCUCAGCCAUGCAAUUUAGUAAAGGUUUCAAGAGAAGUGAACCCUCCUUUUUGUGUACUCUUCGAUUAGAGGAGGUCGAAGAGGCGAAUGGUCCUAUUCCAAAACCCGUUAAAAGGCUUAUUCGGGAAUUUGAGGACAUCGUGCCGGAAGAAUUACCAAAGAAAUUACCACCAAGAAGGACGAUUGAUCAUGAAAUCGAACUUAUUCCAGGCGCUAAAGCUCCCGCCAGGGCACCAUGCCGUAUGUCUUAGCCUGAGCUUGAAAAGCUUAGGAAGCAGUUGGGGGAAAUGUUGGAGAGUGGAAUCAUUGUGCCUGCAAAGUCGCCAUACGGAGCUCCUGUAUUGUUUCAGAAAAAGACUGAUGGCUCUCUUAGAAUGUGCUGUGACUAUCGAGCCCUGAACAAGAUUACUGUAAAGAAUUGCUAUCCUAUCCCACUAGUCGCAGAUUGCUUCGAUCGACUGAGUCGGGCGAAGUAUUACACAAAAAUUGAUCUCAGGUCCGGAUACUGGCAAGUUCGGAUUAAGGAGGGAGACGAAGCAAAGACUACGGUGGUAACCAGAUAUGGAGCCU